CUGGCCGUAAACGAUGGAUACUAGGUGUGGGAGGUAUCGACCCCUUCCGUGCCGGAGUUAACGCAAUAAGUAUCCCGCCUGGGGAGUACGGCCGCAAGGCUGAAACUCAAAGGAAUUGACGGGGACCCGCACAAGCGGUGGAGUAUGUGGUUUAAUUCGACGCAACGCGAAGAACCUUACCAGGGCUUGACAUUGAGUGAAAUACUAAGAGAUUAGUACCUGUUCUUCGGAACACACAAAAACAGGUGG
rnacentral:rRNA from 1 species